GACGAACCGUGCGAACGUUGUUCGGAAUCACUGGGCAUAAAGGGCGCGUAGGCGGGCCGUAAAGUCGAGGGUGAAAUCCCCCAGCUCAACUGGGGAACUGCCUCCGAUACUGACGGCCUCGAGUAUGGUAGGGGCGUGCGGAACUGAUGGUGGAGCGGUGAAAUGUGUUGAUAUCAUCAGGAACUCCGGUGGCGAAAGCGGCACGCUGGACCAUUACUGACGCUGAGGCGCGAAAGCCAGGGGAGCAAACGGG
rnacentral:rRNA from 1 species